rnacentral:rRNA from 1 species
UGACCUCAGAUCAGGCAGGAUCACCCGCCGAACUUAAGCAUAUCA